UAGCUCUUGAGUCAACAUUAUGUCAGGUAUAUUCCUGCAGGUAACAACUGCAGUAUUCACUUUCUGGUUUUUGGGUGUAUGGCUAAGAUAGUGUGAUUCUGAAGCCAGAAGUUUGGAGUGUGCUUUCUGAUAACCCAGUUUCCAAAAUGUAGCAAAAAUAAUAGUCUGCUGGUAGAUGUUUUUAUAAUCAUUUUGGAAGCCUAACAUGGAACCUCCUACCCAGUCAUUCCAAUAAUUUGGGAUGAUACAACAAGAAAGCUCUCGUAAGAUGUCAGCUGCUUGAUUUUGGACUUCGCAAACUCUAGAACUUUUCUCUUGCUUGCUCCUGCCAUGUAAGAAGUGCCUUUCGUUUCCGGCCAUGAUUCUGAGGCCUCCCCAGCUGUGUGGAACUAAUAUGGCAGAUAUAACAGCACGUAAUUUCCAAGGCAAGGUCAUAAAAGACAUUGUAGCUUCUGCCUUGUCCCUUCCUCUUGGAUCUCUUGCUAUGGAGUAGCAGCCCCAUGAAGACACCCGUGGUGGAAGAUCACUGAGGACUCCUGCCAACAGCCACCCAGUGACUGAGGCCUCUUGCAGAAAUCCAUAUGAGUGGGCCAGCUGACAAGAAAAUCUUCCAGCUCUAGUCAAGCCUUCAGAACACCAGCUCUUAGUGCCAGGAACUGCCAGGUAAGAAUUCUGACUACACUGAGGCCACCAUGCUCUGAGGAAGUCAAGCCAGAUGGAAAGAUCACAGCAGGAGAACUGGUCAGCAGUCAUACUCUUGAACUCAUCCCAACCCAGACUCCAGACAUGUGAAUUGACAAGUCUUCAGAUGAUUCCAGCACAAAGCCAUUGAGUCACCUCCAGCCAUUGAGUGUCCCCAGCCGAGACACCAGUCACCAUCAAGCAGAGCCAGUAUGCCUGUUAUGCCUGUCCAAAUUCUUGACCCACUAAAUUCUAUGAAAUUAAUAAAUGGUUGUUUAAGUUACUAAAUUUUAAACUUAAUUUGUUAUGCAGUAAUAGGAAUUGUUCCUGUCUGUGAGCAAGUCCUCAUGGACAAUAAACUCAGAUCUGUCUGUGGAAUCUGGGAGAAAAAGAGACUGUUAUCCUUCCCCAUGGUACAGCCCCAGAAAGAUAAAAGUCUCAGAAUAAAACACUGUACAUGCAUAGCUCAUUUUAUUGGGCUUUGUUUAUUGCAUCUCACAAACGUUACGCUUUUUACAGACUGAAGGUUUGUGGCAACCCUGUGUCUAUUGAGCAAGUCUACCAGCACUAUUUUUCCAACAGUAUGUGCUCGCUUUGUGUCUC
rnacentral:lncRNA from 1 species